AUUGAACGCUGGCGGCGUGCCUAACACAUGCAAGUCGAGCGGCAGCGCGGGAGCAAUCCUGGCGGCGAGCGGCGGACGGGUGAGUAACGCUUGGGAAUCUGCCUGUUAGUGGGGGACAACCCGGGGAAACUCGGGCUAAUACCGCAUACGCACUACGGUGGAAAGCCGGGGACCGCAAGGCCUGGCGCUAACAGAUGAGCCCAAGUCGGAUUAGCUAGUUGGUAGGGUAACGGCCUACCAAGGCGACGAUCCGUAACUGGUCUGAGAGGACGACCAGUCACACCGGAACUGAGACACGGUCCGGACUCCUACGGGAGGCAGCAGUGGGGAAUAUUGGACAAUGGGGGAAACCCUGAUCCAGCGACGCCGCGUGGGUGAAGAAGGCCUGCGGGUUGUAAAGCCCUUUCAGUGGGGAAGAAAAGCCUCGACCUAACACGUCGGGGUCUUGACGUAACCCAUAGAAGAAGCACCGGCUAACUCUGUGCCAGCAGCCGCGGUAAUACAGAGGGUGCGAGCGUUAAUCGGAAUUACUGGGCGUAAAGCGCGCGUAGGCGGCUUUGCAAGUCGGGUGUGAAAUCCCCAGGCUUAACCUGGGAACUGCAUUCGAGACUGCAUUGCUAGAGUAUGGGAGGGGGAAGUGGAAUUUCCGGUGUAGCGGUGAAAUGCGUAGAUAUCGGAAGGAACAUCAGUGGCGAAAGCGACUUCCUGGACCAAUACUGACGCUCAUGUGCGAAAGCGUGGGGAGCAAACAGGGUUAGAUACCCUGGUAGUCCACGCCAUAAACGAUGAGAACUGGAUGUCGGGAGGGUCUGCCUCUCGGUGUCGUAGCUAACGCGUUAAGUUCUCCGCCUGGGGAGUACGGCCGCAAGGUUG
rnacentral:rRNA from 1 species